AUCUGGACUCUCGGCAUUGAUCCCGAAAACGGUCGAUCGUACCCGAUCAUGACCCUCGUGCAUAUCCGUGAGGUGUCGGAACGGUUGCCAUGGUAUUGCGUCGCCCCUGGACAUGAAAUUACCGUUUCUGAAGUGAAUUGUUGCAGUUUCUCUUCUCUGACACGGAGGACGUUCUGUGAUCUGUUGUCAGCUUAAUUAGCCGCCAUACGAACGGACUCAGCUUAAUAAUACUAGGGUCUCCCGAGUCACUCUUGGUCGAUUUGAAGCCGUGCAGCUGGAAAGCACAACUCUGCACCGCUCAAAGUCACCGGAGCGGAGGACAUUUUCCCACGCAAGAGCAAUACCCGGCCCUGACGGUAGAACGCCAGCCUUCUCAAACAGUGGACACGAAGAUACAUUUUCUCUGAAAAUCAGCAGAACUUGGCCCAGAAUAAGGACAGAAAGGAUAACCUUCACAUCAGACAGGGCUACUGUCAGGGUGCGAGUGUGAGUCUCUUCUUGCUGGACAUCAACUAAUUAAGUUACUGAUCAAUAAAGGAGGGAGUUGGAAGUGAGACAACUGCAGUUCUUGUCCGAUCCAUUUUCUGGCAUUGGUCCAGUACCAACCUGUGGAGGAAUACAAAUUACCUGUGCUACUGUCAAGGUGCAAGUCUUGCUGGAUGUCAACUAUAGUAAUUAAUUCACUGAUCAAUAAAGGAGGGAGUCAGAAAAGAAGAGGAGACAACUGCAGUUCUUGUCCAUUUGCUGGCAUCAAUCAGGUCCAGUGCAAGUCUGUGGAGGAAUACUAAUUACCUGCUCCCACCUUGAAAUAGCAACUGUGACAGGUAUCUGGCUUUACCUGAUAACAGCAACAUCCUUUACCAGGGGACACGUUUUGAGAGCAUGCAGUGAGAGGGAAGGUCGUUGAAGGGUGGCUAUGGGAAGGAACUUCAAGGUAAACUGCCAACCAAUGAAGUCAUUCCACUAAAGGACGCAUACCCUAU